UGGGCAGGUCGCACAUCACAACGCUGUCCUGUGCCAUCAGGUCGCCGGUGGCCCGAUGACCCGGCAGACUGGCGUGUAGGUGAGCUGACCCAGCCUUGUGUUUCCCUGUCGUGAGAACCAGUCUCUUCUGUCACUGUCAUCUCUUGACCUCCCUGUCACAUUUCAGGGUGUCCCUGAACAUGACUGACUGCUGCUCCUGUCACUCCACUCACAGGAUUAAAUCAUGACCCUGUGUGCUCGUCGUCGUCUUUCCCUCCUCCUCCUCUCUCUGCUCUGAAAAGUCUGAUCUUCUCUCCUCUGCACCGUCUGUUCCCUCCUCUCUUCCCUCCAUCCCCUCUUUCCGCUUCAAAGAACUUGAAAGCAUCGGUUAGUCUGUGAGGCUCUGCUGUGAUCUCUGCUCUGAAACAGAGGAGUAACACACCAACCACGUCUGAUUAACAGGGCCUCCCUGGAGAGCCAGACGUGGUUCUGCUGGACGGUCUUCCAGGAGAAGAGGACGAGCAGAAGCAGUGUGGAGACGCUGAGGACCGUCGUGCCCCAACGACCGACCACCGAGCACAGCCGGCCCAGACCGUGAGCCACCAGGAUACAGUAGCCCAUACUGCAGGGAGAGGAGAUAGAAGAAAACAGGCAGAGAGAGCCUUGAUCAUCCAACCAGAGGAUUCUUCAUUCAGGAGGACGUUCCACAUCUAUUCUUGUUACACUACAGCUUGUUGACCCAGAGAGAUGAACUCGGUACAAUUUGAGUAAAAGCCUCGAUAGAAAAAUGGAUGCUUUGUUGAAACUCCUACAUGCAGCAGAGAUGAGCCUGAACGAGAGGUGACGAGUCAAGGCAAACAAGAGCAAAUCACUGAGAGGAGAACGAUUCAGAGAGAAAGACGGGGAAUAAAUAAAGUGUCAAAAAACAGCGCGGACAAAAAAAAACAACACAUUUGGCAAAAACACUGCGGAUAUCCUGUUCACGUUCUGUAAACCUUUUACUCCACGUUCAACAGCGUGAACAAGAGCUGGAACAUAUCAACACUGACAGGACAGAUUGUACAGCUGUGUGUGUGUGUGUGUGCAUGUGUGUGUGUGAAUUCAGCCUUCAAACCAAACAGUGUGUGAUUUAACACUGCAGAAAAUGAGAUUAUCCUACACUGAUUCUGUAUGAAAAACAUCCCAAUCAGUUUGUAGACAAAUGCCCCUGACGCACAUUACCGUCCUACACACACACAAACACACACACACGCAGGAGGAGGAAACUAUCUCAGCAAUAUUCCUUUUUCUUACUAUCACAUGCGAUUAUGUUUUAUGUCUCGUGCUAUCUUUAUGCCCUUAUCUGGUUCAGUCUAAGAUUUUUAAUAACUUCUCAUUAUUCUCUUUGCCAAAACUGCUCACAGUGAGAACCCAGCAGCGACCUCCGGUGUUGAAAAAUAAAGCCCGAUGCAAAAGUGCAAACUCCUGCAGUUCCUCGAGUGUCCACUAGAAGGCUGUCUACAGAAGUCACAUUCACACCCACGAGUCACUACCGAGGCAAGCAAAAGUGACAUUCCCUAGCAGCAAUGAGCGCCGUGAGAAGCGUUCUGAAACUGAUCGGUCUAGAGCAGUGGUUCUCAA